rnacentral:rRNA from 1 species
UACGGAGGGGGCUAGCGUUAUUCGGAAUUAUUGGGCGUAAAGGGCGUGUAGGCGGCUCUGUGUGUCCCAUGUGAAAGCCCUCGGCUCAACCGGGGAACUGCAUGGGAAACUGCGGAGCUUGAGUCCGGGAGAGGUGAGUGGAAUUCCCAGUGUAGCGGUGAAAUGCGUAGAUAUUGGGAGGAACACCAGUGGCGAAGGCGGCUCACUGGACCGGUACUGACGCUGAGACGCGAAAGCCAGGGGAGCAAACGGG